rnacentral:rRNA from 1 species
UACGGAGGGUGCGAGCGUUAUUCGGAAUUACUGGGCGUAAAGCGCGUGCAGGCGGAAGGAGCAGUCUGAUGUGAAAGCCCGGGGCUUAACCCCGGAAGAGCAUUGGAAACCAUCCUUCUUGAGUGCUGGAGAGGAAGGGGGAAUUCCCGGUGUAGAGGUGAAAUUCGUAGAGAUCGGGAGGAAUACCAGUGGCGAAGGCGCCCUUCUGGACAGUCAAACUGACGCUGAGACGCGAAAGCGUGGGGAGCAA